GCCAGGUGCAGGGGCGCACACCUGUAAUCCCAGAGACUUGGGAGGCUGAGGCAGAGGAUCACAAGUUCAAGACCAGGCGCAGCAACUUAGUGAGAUACCCUGUUUCAA
rnacentral:sRNA from 1 species